UACUGAGACACGGACCAGACUCCUACGGGAGGCAGCAGUGAGGAAUAUUGGACAAUGGACGAAAGUCUGAUCCAGCUAUGCCGCGUGCAGGAUGACGGCCCUACGGGUUGUAAACUGCUUUUAUACAGGAAGAAACACCCCGACGUGUCGGGGCUUGACGGUACUGUAAGAAUAAGGAUCGGCUAACUCCGUGCCAGCAGCCGCGGUAAUACGGAGGAUCCAAGCGUUAUCCGGAAUUAUUGGGUUUAAAGGGUCCGCAGGCUGUUUUUUAAGUCAGAGGUGAAAUCCUGCAGCUCAACUGUAGAAUUGCCUUUGAAACUGAAAGACUUGAGUUAUUGUGAAGUGGUUAGAAUGUGUGGUGUAGCGGUGAAAUGCAUAGAUAUCACACAGAAUACCGAUUGCGAAGGCAGAUCACUAACAAUAUACUGACGCUCAGGGACGAAAGCGUGGGUAGCGAACAGGAUUAGAUACCCUGGUAGUCCACGCCGUAAACGAUGGAUACUAGCUGUAUGUCUACCUCAGGUAGAUGUGUGGCCAAGCGAAAGUGAUAAGUAUCCCACCUGGGGAGUACGAUCGCAAGAUUGAAACUCAAAGGAAUUGACGGGGGCCCGCACAAGCGGUGGAGCAUGUGGUUUAAUUCGAUGAUACGCGAGGAACCUUACCAGGGCUUAAAUGUAACGGGACAGGUCUAGAGAUAGACCCUUCUUCGGACUCAUUACAAGGUGCUGCAUGGUUGUCGUCAGCUCGUGCCGUGAGGUGUCAGGUUAAGUCCUAUAACGAGCGCAACCCCCAUCGUUAGUUGCCAACGAGUAAUGUCGGGAACUCUAACGAAACUGCCGGUGCAAACCGUGAGGAAGGUGGGGAUGACGUCAAAUCAUCACGGCCCUUACGUCCUGGGCUACACACGUGCUACAAUGGUCGGUACAGAGAGCAGCCACUUCGCGAGAAGGAGCAAAUCU
rnacentral:rRNA from 1 species